rnacentral:tRNA from 1 species
UCGAAGUAUAGUUUAGUAGAAAAACAUCUCACUUACAUUGAGUAAAUUUAUCGUGCAAAUCGAUUAUAUUUUGAA